rnacentral:rRNA from 1 species
CACGUAGGCACCAAGCGUUGUCCGGAUUUAUUGGGCGUAAAGAGCUCGUAGGCGGUUCAGUAAGUCGGGUGUGAAAACUCUGGGCUUAACCCAGAGACGCCACCCGAUACUGCUGUGACUUGGAGUACGGGUAGGGGAGCAGGGAAUUCCUGGUGUAGCGGUGAAAUGCGCAGAUAUCAGGAGGAACACCGGUGGCGAAGGCGCUGCUCUGGGCCGAAACUGACGCUGAGGAGCGAAAGCGUGGGUAGCAAACAGG